rnacentral:rRNA from 1 species
UACGGAGGGGGUUAGCGUUGUUCGGAAUUACUGGGCGUAAAGCGCGACGUAGGCGGUUACUUAAGUCUGUCGUGAAAUCCCCGGGCUCAACCUGGGAAUGAUAGGUAGCGCUGGGUGGCUAGAGUGUGUCAGAGGAUGGUGGAAUUCCCGGUGUAGCGGUGAAAUGCGUAGAGAUCGGGAGGAACAUCAGUGGCGAAGGCGCUUUCUGGGCCACGACUGACGCUGAGGCGCGAAAGCUAGGGGAGCAAACA